UCACAAGCACCACCUUCCCGUCUUUCCCAAGUAGUCAGCACUAUAAAAGGAGCAAAAGGGCAGAGAUGAUGGUUUACGGUUGAAUGAGGCAGGGAGAGGCCUUGGGAGUUUUCCUAGGACCGUUUUGCCCCUCUACCUAGAUGAUCGCCUCCCCCGGCGGUCAUCUUUAGCCGGUGAUUUCUCCGACCACCGUCAAAACGGCCUCUCUAAAGGAGAUUAAGCUAAGCUCAAAUCUCUGCACCUUCAUUUUCUCUCUCCUCCUCAGUCCACAACUCCACACUCUGUCUUUUUCUAUGCAUGCAUCUAUCUAUCUACUUACCUCACAAGUCACUACAUAACAUCAGACAUUUGGAAAUUGAUCAAUAGCUGUUAUUUAGAGGCUGUGAUGAGUUUAAACCGUUCAAAGUAGUCAAUUUCAAUUUGGGUUUGGAGAAUUAUUCCGAGGUGUGUGGUAAUUUUCCCUUUGGCCUGGUAGAAAUCAAAUGAUGGGAGCUGUAAAGGGCAGUGAUGUAUACGGGAUUCGGCCCCGGGUCUCGUGUACAUUAGCUAGCUAUCAAAUUGAACUCUGUUUGGUUCAGGGUUAGGGUUUAGGGUUUUGGUUUUUGCCUCCAAUUUGAUUGUUUGCCGCCAUGGUAGAAUACCCACCUCGAAGUUCUUCACUCAAUUGUUUGAUGAAAUGUGGGUCUGAGCCUCCUAAAAAGAAAAAGAAAACAAAACCCAGAUUCAAUUUCAGGGGAAAUAAAAUUGGAAGCUAGCAAUGGUGAGAUUGCUGACAAGGAUGUUUGUUCAGCAACAUGGAAGGGCAUAUGAUGUACGAGUAACGACUAGUUGAGUAAUAAACAUGGUUAGUUUUAAGAAUGAGGUUUGGAGAGGCCAUGGGAGUUUCCGAGGACCGUUUUGCCCUUCUCCUUUGAUGACCACCUUCACAGGCGGUCAUCAAUGGUCUAUGAUUUCUCAGAACACUCAAAAUGGUCCUCAAAGAGAAUGUGAGGAGUUCAAUGAUCGAUAUCAUUAAUUUGAGCUAUGUGUUAUACUUUUAUGCAGCUUCUCUGGAAUGUUAUAUUGCUGUUCGGACCAGAACCUUAAUCUGGCGCAUUAGACCAACUCGGCCAUCUCAACUUAAUCAAAAUUCUGUUUUUUUUGGGGUGUCAGUUGAGCUCACUGAACCACCACUGGGAGAGGAUGUGGGAGUUUUGUGGACCGUUUCCCCCCUCUCCUUUGAUGGUUGCUCCAUAUUCACUUUUACCGGCAGUCAUCUGUUGCCGAUGAUUGCUCCAAACACUCAGAAAACGGUCCUCUUAGAGAAUGUGCUAAGCUGAAUAUCUUCAAUCAAGUUCUUUCUUAUGCAGCUUUGGUAGACUCUCUACAUUACCCCCAUAACAAAUAAUUCAUACGAGGCUGUGAUGAUUGUAUGUCGUUCUACAUAGUCAUAAUCAAAUUAGGUUCGGAGCUUCUUUGAGGUGUGGAUAAUUUACCAUUUGGCUUGGCAGCAAUUAAAUGAUGGGAGCCACAAAGGGAAGCAAUAAACAUUAAACACCACCCAUUGAGAGCUAUCCCCGCUGCAUGUUGUGGUUAAUUUGUUAUGACUGCUGGCACCCUCUUAAUUGAUUUGCCGCCAUGGUAGUUUCUCCACCUUAAAUUCUCCACCAAAUUGUAUGAUGAACCGUAGAUCUGAGCCUCCGUAAUACCUCCCUCCUGAAAGAAAGAAAAACAGCGGUUUAAGAAAAAAAGAAUGGGAAGCUAGCAAUGUUGACAACUGACAAGGUUUUCCCAGUACUAAUGCAUCCACUGAAGAAGGCCUCCAUGAGCCUGCUUUUGAGCUAAGCUUCAAUACGAGGUCUCUCCUUUGUGCUUUUUAAAUUCUCAUAUCGAUGUAUCCUUCUGGCUAAUGUUGCAAGAUAUGAAUUUCAGGUAUUUGCUCUCACCAACUGAGCUAUAUCAGGGGAAUCAGGAGUCGUAGGCUCAUAGUAGUAUUCGAUCUACAUUGGGUUUAUUUGUGGAUGAGAUGAUUAUGUAAAAGGCUGUGAUGAUUCCAUUUUUUUACUUCAUUUAUUCGCUUACCCCCCUGUCCUGCCCAGGAUUGCUAAAGAUUUACCUUUUGCUUUUUCCAAAGUCAAACAUCUCAAGCUUUGACCAUAAAUUCUCACCAACAAAAAAAGAACAUAAUCAUGUGGGAUCUUGUUAGAUUCGUCCGAGAGUAUAUUAUUUAGAAUAUCAACUUUUAGUUGUGUGACUAAAGAAUUAAUGGUCAAAGGUUUGUCUUGAAUUGUUGACCGUGAAUGAAGCAAAUGGGGAAUCUGUUGGGAGCAUCCUUUGGGGGUGGUAUGAGUAGUAAAUGAAGGGGAACAAGCUUUUGCCAUUGGCUUGGCAGCGUGAGCUUUGCUUACUUUGCCGCCAUGGUAUUAAACUUAUGCCCAAUUAAAGGUGUUUCUGAGCCUGUCAACUCGUGUAAAAUGUGUAUGCAUGCAAUUGAUGGAUGAUUCACACAUUCGAAUUAAAGCUAUCCCUCCUUUCCGCUUGUCUAUAUCAAGGCUAGACCUUUUAUUUUUUUUAUAUAGAAAAGGCUAGACUGUGUUACUGAUAACACUAAUGGCGUUGCUGUUUUCAACUGUGUUUUGUGAAAUAAACCCAAUAGAAGUGAAAUGUAGGUAGAAGAAAGAUUGGUCUGUUGAAGUGUGCUUGGCAUCGGCAUAUUGCAGUUUUAUUAUAGGAGAGUCGCAAAUGCUAGAUAAUAAUCGGUAUCUGAGCAUGGAGGACCUUAUAGGUUUUGGUUGAUUUUCGCCAUGGCUCGACUUUGGGUCCCUUCCCGAUUCCUAUAACAGUAUAACUAAUGAAGGGUGUAUCCCUUUCUCUCUCAUGCACAUUUGAAUUUUGUAUGAAUGCAUUGCAGAUAUUUGAUGAAUGUUGAUUGAAAUAUCUAAUCACAGAAUUGGGGAGGUGCAACACCAGCAGGAAGGGGCAAAAGGAUUAUGCUGCUGCUAUAAACAAAGACAACAGACCACCAGCGUAGGUAGUAACAUGGUGCGUUGAGUAGAUAGCAUAAACAUUAAGCUUAAAACAUAAGAUUUUCGAGGUUUGGAAAUUUCAUUAUUAAAGCUGUACCAUAAUAAUGGUGCCUACCAUUAUCAUCACUCUCCUCUUUGUACUCAAUUCUGACAUUUCAAUGUGCUUUCUGCUGACUUCCUGAUUUUUUUAUUCAAAUGACUCCUUUAUUUGGGGGGCGCAUUUGGACUUGAUGCUGAUCAAAACUUUGCAGGUUGGCUUACAUACUUCUUGCAAUCAAAAUAGCUGCAUCAAGUAUUUUGUUGGUUCAGAGGCAACUUCGUAUUUUGUAAGGGUACUAGUUGCAACUUACAACUCUAGUACGUAGUGAUUGUUGAUUGUUCUUUCAUGUGUAUAACGUCAAAGAGGGUAGAAAUGUGUAAACCCUCCUAGGCAUUAUGUUGAUUAGUAGAUAUAUAGCGAUGUUGUGCUUGUUGAAACAAACGGAGCCUACAUUGCAAAAAUGUUGUAUUUUGGUUUACAUAGUUAAAAAUUAAUGGUUAGCUAAAACGCUUUCCAUAUUUAGGUAUGUAAACUCUCCUAUCAUGGUCCUUCCAAGCAGUUUUCUCUUAGGACUAGGGCAAGCUGAGCCAUUGCUACUAUGUUUACUUGUAUUCAAAGGUGAUACAACAGAGCUAUUAUCCCAUAAGUACUUAUGCUUGCCCGAAUGCUGCGUGUAAAUGUGUAGUAGAGUAUUGUUGUGUGAUAUUUCAAGGGAUUUUUAAAUUCUCCGAUCACUAAAAACAAUCUACGUACGUCGUUCAAAUAUGGUUCACUGCUACUCCUUCAAUAGAAACAUCGUGGUGGGAAUAGAGAUCCGUAAUGCUUAAGUAGAUCACCUUUUAGAACUUUCAUGUAGAGCUAUUAGAGCUUGGCAUGCAAACACACGGGCUAGCUGAUCCCGACACGGCAUGAUGAUGAGUCGUCGGUCGUGUAUGAACAUCAUGAGCACGACGGAUCGUCCCGUAAGUUGACAUAACUCAGGAGCAACAUGUGUCUUAAUUAGGGACUAUCUGGGAACACAAUAUAGCUAGCCGCUCCUACAAUACGUGGGCUACUCCCUUUCUAGCAGAAGUUAUUGCACUCAGCAAUGGAUUAUUAUUGGCAAUGGAAAACAAUAUUCAAAAUUUUCAUCGAGGGUGAUAACUUACUAAUUCAUAUUUGGCAGCAACGUGUUCAAUGUCCGUGAAAAAUACAAUUGCUUAUGGAUGACAACAAACAACUUCUUUUUAAUUUCGAUAGUCAUAUUUUGCUGAAUGUAUAUCGAAAAGUUAACCGCUUUGUUGGUUACGUUGCAUCUAUUGGCCACCGGCACCGCACUGAGUAUAACUUAUGUGUACUUUUCCUGUUGUUUUAAAAUAAAAAAUUACUCCGUAUUUGCUUCGAGAAUUUGCUAGUUUACCGAGGAAGAAAGGUUUGUAAGGGAGAUGCAAAGACAUUAAUGCCCUCAGUUCGUUCAACAGAUCAAAGGGGCUAAUGGGCUAUCCAAAACAAUGAGGGCAAAAACGACAAUUUUGGUGCGAAUGAGCUACAAAGGCAAUAUAAAUUACAAAUGAGGGCGGGGGAUUCGAACCUGAGACAUAUCGUACACAGGCCUUCAAUCUUAACCAUUGGGCCAACACAUCAUUGGUAGGGCAAAUACGACAAUAGACAAACAAGAGAAAGACAACUCCAUAAAAGAUCAAAUUGGGGGAAAAUUAAGGGUUCUAACGAUAGAAUGAGGCCCGGAGAGGCUAUGGGAGUUUCCCGAGGGCCGUUUUGCCCCUCUCCGUGAUGACCACCUUAACCGGUGGUUCAUCUUUAGCCGGUGAUUUCUCCGUCCACCGUAAAACGGUCCUCAAUCAAACAUCCUUAACCAUGAACCCAAAACCCUAAAGAGAAAAGAAAUAACAAAAAUGAACAUGCAGUAGCAGCAACCGCAGUAGUAGUACUCGUAGUACCAAUAAUGAGGCAGUGAUGAUAAAGAAUCGUUUCACAGUAUUCAAACUUUCAAUUUUGGGUUUGUGGGCAUUUCUUAUCUUGGGUGGUUUGCCAUUUGGCUUGGCAGCAAUUUGAUGGGUGUUUUGCAUGUUGGUGGGUUGAGAUUUUUCUCUCUCCUCAAAUGUGCCCCUUUUCAGUUUUGCUUUGCCGCCAUGGUAGAUUUCCCCUUGCUUGAUUUGCCUCACCAAAUUGUUUGUUUGAUGCUAUGCCGAUCUGAGCCUCCUUUCCUUAGAAAGAUUUUUAAUUGUUUUUCCUCCCACCCCCCCUCUUUUUUGGAUGAUUUGACGUGGAACAAAAUUGAGAUGAUUUGAAUGCGGGGAAGAUUGAGGUUACAGUUGGGUUUUUGAAUUGUUGAAAGUUUGAUGAUGUUAUUUUAUAUUCGACCAGUAGAACGAGACUUCACUGCGAAUUUUUUAUGAUGAAUUAAGCACCCUUGAAUGCCUAUGGUGGUGGUGCUUUUGCGCGAUCUGUUGUGAGCUUGGGGGGAACAGAGUUUGCUAUUGAUGGGCUGCAUCAAGUAUUACAGACUCGGGAUUUAAGAGCUAGAAGCAUUGUUUUUAUCCGAAGUCACAGGAUUAGACUUAGACUUGAAGGCAAUUGUUGAUGUAAAUUGUUUUGUUUUGUAUCUGACAAAGUUCCAUACGAUCUUGUUGCAUUUUGUAUAUAAUUAUGCAGAGUGCAUAUUUCAACUGGUUAUAUGUCAACCAAAAUACUCAAUACCGGUUCUAAUUUCUGA